rnacentral:lncRNA from 1 species
AUCACUUUUGGGUCGGUUAUAUCAAGAUUGAGUUUGUAUCUUAGUGAUACAAAAUCAAAAAGACAUUAGUUUACUCUCAUUUGAGAGGAAAUUAUAAUGGUUCAUUUAUCAAAGUAAGUUGUGAUAAAGACAACUUGAAUGAUGUACAAUAUGAUCUAAAUGCUCUUUAAAAAAGGAUAUUACAAUUGUCUUCAAGAUCUAUGAUCAAAGCUUUUUCAUAUUGAUUUAUUAUGAACAAUCUUUUGC